UACGUAGGUGGCAAGCGUUGUCCGGAAUUAUUGGGCGUAAAGAGCUCGUAGGCGGUCUGUCGCGUCUGGUGUGAAAAUCCAGGGCUUAACCCUGGACCUGCAUCGGGUACGGGCAGACUAGAGUGCGGUAGGGGAGAUCGGAAUUCCUGGUGUAGCGGUGAAAUGCGCAGAUAUCAGGAGGAACACCGGUGGCGAAGGCGGAUCUCUGGGCCGUUACUGACGCUGAGGAGCGAAAGCGUGGGGAGCGAACAGG
rnacentral:rRNA from 1 species